rnacentral:rRNA from 1 species
ACUGCUCAGUAACACGUAGUCAACAUGCCCAAGGGACGUGGAUAACCUCGGGAAACUGAGGAUAAACCGCGAUAGGCCAAGAUUUCUGGAAUGGAUCAUGGCUGAAAUCUAUAUGGCCCUUGGAUUGGACUGCGGCCGAUCAGGCUGUUGGUGAGGUAAUGGCCCACCAAACCUAUAACCGGUACGGGCUUUGAGAGAAGGAGCCCGGAGAUGGGCACUGAGACAAGGGCCCAGGCCCUAUGGGGCGCAGCAGGCGCGAAAACUCUGCAAUAGGCGAAAGCUUGACAGGGUUACUCUGAGUGAUGCCCGCUAAGGGCAUCUUUUGGUACCUCUAAAAAUGGUGCAGAAUAAGGGGUGGGCAAGUCUGGUGUCAGCCGCCGCGGUAAUACCAGCACCCCGAGUGGUCGGGACGAUUAUUGGGCCUAAAGCAUCCGUAGCCGGUUCUGCAAGUCUUCCGUUAAAUCCAUCUGCUUAACAGAUGGGCUGCAGAGGAUACUAUAGAGCUAGGAGGCGGGAGAGGCAAGCGGUACUUAGUGGGUAGGGGUAAAAUCCGUUGAUCCACUGAAGACCACCAGUGGCGAAGGCGGCUUGCCAGAACGCACUCGACGGUGAGGGAUGAAAGCUGGGGGAGCAAACCGGAUUAGAUACCCGGGUAGUCCCAGCUGUAAACGAUGCAGACUCGGUGAUGAAUAGGCUUCGUGCCUAUUCAGUGCCGCAGGGAAGCCGUUAAGUCUGCCGCCUGGGGAGUACGGUCGCAAGACUGAAACUUAAAGGAAUUGGCGGGGGAG